UCGGGAAUUUUAGGCAAUGGGGGAAACCCUGACCUAGCAACGCCGCGUGAGCGAUGAAGGCCUUCGGGUCGUAAAGCUCUGUCAGGAGGGAAGAAUGGCGCGAUACGAACAAUGUCGCGAUUUGACGGUACCUCCAAAGGAAGCACCGGCUAACUCCGUGCCAGCAGCCGCGGUAAUACGGAGGGUGCAAGCGUUGUUCGGAAUCAUUGGGCGUAAAGCGGGUGUAGGCGGCUUGGCAAGUCGGGUGUGAAAUCCCAGGGCCCAACCCUGGAACUGCAUUCGAAACUGCCUCGCUAGAGUCCCGGAGAGGAUGGCGGAAUUCCCGGUGUAGAGGUGAAAUUCGUAGAUAUCGGGAGGAACACCAGCGGCGAAGGCGGCCAUCUGGACGGUGACUGACGCUCAGACCCGAAAGCGUGGGUAGCGAACAGGAUUAGAUACCCGUGUAGUCC
rnacentral:rRNA from 1 species